GAGCCGGUCUUUGGGCUGUUGCCUCGUUUGCCCCUAAGAUCUCUCUGCAGCUACUGAAGGAUGCGCAGAGGAGAGGGGCAGGGUGCUGUGUGCUCCUCCAAAGGCUGGGCUGAGACGCAGGAACCUUGAAAUAAAGUCAGAACACAACCUUGUAAUAAGAAUUCAUCUGUGAAAACAGACUUCUCCCUGCAGCUGCUCAAUGGAGCAGGUGAAACACAGAGCUGGUGAUGGCUCUGCCCUGCACGCCUCUGAGAGGGCUCAGUCGCAGAGAGCUCGAGGGCACUCUGGCUGCUGAGCUACGAGACGAGCUCCAGCUUCAGCUAAUUUCAGAGGUGCAGCAAAUUCCUCUUCCCAGUGCUUCCAAACGUGGGGAUUGAUGAAGAAGAGGUUCUGUGACUUCUGAGGCUGGUGUUCACUGUUACGAGUACUGACAAGCGUGUUCUACGUACGAAUCUCAGUCAGAGCCCCUGAUGUAGCCUCUGCAUUUCAAGGGGACUUCAAAGAAGAACUGCAAGGAGAUCUUCACCUGUUCUAGGCAAAAGGGAAGAGAAAUCAGGAUCCUUGUUUAUGUUCAGUGAGGACUACAUGCCAGCUGCCUCUGAAACCUUUUCUCAUGUUCUGUCAGUUCCCAAGUAUUGUGUUUGCCCAGCUCCUGCCAAUGACCUGGUCCUUUUGAAAGAAUUCUAGGAUAUUACAGAACUUUGCUCUGGUUGGACUUGUGAUGGAGCCAAGCAAAAGGAUGCAUAAAAAGGCCUUCUAAAUACUACAGGACAAAAAAAAAAAAAAAAAAAGUUGUUUCUUCUAGUCUUCAAACACUUUGAUUUGUCCCUGCAUAAAGGGCUGUUUGCGGGGUCUUUGUGCAAAUGAAUUUCACACCAGGUGCCUCAUGGUGACCUCUGGUACUGCGAGGAACGUUUAAUGCCACGUCCUUCAGGCAGCCCUGCCCGUGCCUGCAGCUUUCAGGCUGUGUGGGCAGGGGCUUGCUGCCUGCCCUUCCUUCCUCGGUGCCUGCAGAGCUGUGUGUGUUUCUGUGUAAACUGCUCACGGUACCCACCAGGACAGGGGAGGUAAGGACAGGGCUGUGCUGUGAAAGGAUGAAGACUGGAAGUGGGUUCCUGGGCCUCCAACCACAGUUUUCUGCUAGGGGAGGGACCCUCAGGACAACAUCAAUCAACAUCAGUGUUAACUCAGCCUGUUCUAUUGCAGAGAGAUCUUUUACUCCCCGUCUCUCCCCCAUUCAGCUCUCUGAGUCCUGUCCUUAGGUCUGAAGAAGGCAGGAGAGUCAGGCAAGGCGUAUUUGUCUCAGAAGCAUGCCGGGAGCUGAAGCUACCUGAAGUCUUGCUGAGCAGAGCAAGACUUCCCCAGCCCUCGUGGUUCCACAGCUCUGCCUCUGGCAUCGCCCUGCUGAUCACCAUAAUGCUAAGACUGUGGUCCUUUAACAUAACCCCCAAGGCAGCAGGUUUUAAUCCUUGUCAAGGGUACAAAAAUGCCUGUCUGAGAGGCUGCCAUCAGCCCUCUUCUGGCUGCAGAAUAGUUUGGGCUCCCGGAGAGCUGCCAUGCUCUCCACUAACAAACCCACGCUCGAGUCUGUCCCUGGCUCUGUGCUGCACCAAAACAAAACUCAGGCUCUGCUUGGAAGUGAAAGAGCCCUGGGGAACGGUGGAUACGCUGCAGUGUGCUCUGCUGCUCCUCUCUUGCUUCGUGGCUGGCUUUGCCUGCAAGUAGGCUACAUGCAUCCCAGGCAUUGCUCGCCAGCCCUGCUGCCCUGUCCUCAGCUGAAGCCAGUCCCCUCUGCGUGAUGCUGCAGUCGGUGCCCUACCAGCUGCUGUGAUCCUGCAGGCAGAGCGGGGCUGCAGGUAGCAGGUGACAAGCAGGGGGACACAACCCCUGAGGAGCAAGCAGUUUUACUCUGUGCCUUGACAGCGUCACAAACCUUGAAGAUGAACACAAAGCAGAGUCCUCAGCGGACGUCCUGGCGCUCAGCGUUUCCCAGGGUCACUGGUGGCUUUGUGAUCCCUUUAUUUUUUAAAUGCGUGCAUGACUGACUCCGUGUCUGUUUGCCAGGCUGCACCACCCUGGACAUGCCUGGAGAUGUCCCAAAGGAGGAGGUGGGAAAGGGGGAGUUGCCUGCAGCCUGGGAUAGUUAUCUGCUUGCUUUGAACAGAGCAACUGAUCUACCUCUGGGGUUUUGCUUUCACACAAGUUCAUCCAGUUCACCUACUUACACGGCUCGUUAUUAAUAGAAUCGUUAGCAGGUUCACUCCACAGCUUGUAGGGAAGGUGUGCACAUGGGUGGCAGCUGAAGACAGAAAGUAUCUGAUUAUAUCUAGUACUUAUUUGGCUCAUCUUCCCAGGUGUGCUGUUCUACAGAUAAUAAACCAGGCAGCUUCACAGAGGGAGGUACAGGCACACCCUAGCUGUGGGCUCCGGCUGUAUUCCAGCACCCCAAGUGGGGUACCCGUGCUGGUGAGCACUCAGGGCUGUGUCUGCAUGCACAGGGAGCUCACACAUGGCUACGGGGAGCUGCAGAGGUGGCACAGGGGAAGGCAUUGAAAGCGUGGCUGUCCACAACCAAGAGGCUCAGGAAGCAGAAGGCAUGGUCCAGGUGGCCCUGCUGGAGCCAGGAUAUUUAUUGGACCAGAUGGACCCAGAGGUGCCUUCCAGCCCCAUCCAGGCGGUGAUUCUGUGACCCGGGAGGCUCAGCAAGCUGCAGCCGACACAGCUCCGAUGGGCUUCCAUUAUAUCACAGGAGCAUCCGAAGAUAUGUGCCUCGCUCUCUUUUGGGGACUCACUUUGCUGGAGGGGAACGGCUGAUUCACCUGUCUCAUAAAAAUGUAUUUUUUUUCCACGAAAGAACAAAGGAUUCGCCUCAAAGAAUGGAGGCCUCUAUGAAGUCGGCUGAAAGACCCCACCAGCCCCACCACCUUUUCUGCCUAUGUUUUAAAACCGUCUCAUGAAAGCCUAUGGUCACACUGCUUUACAAGCCAAGGAUGAGAACUAGCAGAGCUGUUACGAAAAAGCCAUGGGAACAAAAGCAGAAGACCCGGUUCAGCCAGAGACAGAGGCCUUCUGCAGCUAUAAUAAAGGCUUGUUUUGCUCUAUGGGGGAGUUUAAUUGCAAAAUGCUUAGCAUAGGUGAAUCAUAAGGAGCCUAACCAUAGGAAGAGGUUAACCACAGCUAUAGGAAGGAUUCAUCUGAGGCUACAACAAACAAGCUCUCGGUGGGAAGAAACCAAAAGUCUCUCCUGGGCUGUGGACGGGCCCGUUCCUGAAACUCCAAGGUCGAGCUGCGCGUCCAGGGCAGGAAUUCUCCUGACCCGAGAUAGGGAAUGGCCAAGUAGGAGGUCAGGUGGGAGAUAAGAUGGUUAUUGCUAGUGGGAACUGUUGUGGGGCUGCUGUGGCUGUAACCACCAGCUCAUCUCCUGGGAGAGGUGGUGCUGAGCGGUCUGCCACAGCUGUGCUGUAACCCGGGGAUUAAUCGGGCGCCCAUGGUUUUGGACAAACCGAUGUAUUCUCACUUAAAUAAAUGUGGAAGCGCUGCCUCCGGGGUCCUGCCAGGACCAACGGGCUCCAAUCUCAUGAAGGUUUUAUGCUAGGUCCCAGUUCGUUUAGGGAUUCCUGGUUAGGCUCACUGGAAGGAACGUGUUUGCUGGAUUUGCCUUGCACCACGUUCCCGAAAGGCAGCAGUGAAAUGUUGGGCUGGGUGAGAAACCUGGGCAGUGAGACGGUCCCCAUCCAGCGAGGUCCAAAGUGGGAGUCAUUAUCAGCUCCAUUAAACGUGAUUUUCUUGGCUGCCGCCUCCAAGUUUGAUAGGAAAUUGGAUUUGACUCAUUGCAAUACAAAGGGGCAGUUUGGUAAAUGUACAUUUCCAGCCAAAAUCAUUAGUCAACUAACAGUGGAAUUAUGUUUUCGUCGAAGUUCCCGUUACCAUUUGGUUUACUUGUUUUUCCUGCCUGGCUCCAUCCAUAGUGAGUGCAGCCAAGUUCUGAUCCUCAGCUGUUUGGAGGUAUUCGCUCAGUCCACGAGGGAUCUGCCAGACAAUUCAUUGGACAAUAUUCAAAGUGUUAGCAAGGUUCCUGCUAAUUACGCACAAGGACCCAGAUUAACAUUUGUAUUCCAGCACGUUUUGCGUUAGUUGGGGUUUAGGUCGCGUGGAUUGUUUCGCUACACGAUUGCAUUCAUGUUGUCAGAAUGUCUAAAUAUAAAAUAUUAAAAUUACUGUACAGCCGAUUCAUACGCCAAAGAGCUGAUAUUCUUUUGGUUGGAAGUGUCAAAAUAUUUGUAGUGAAAUUCUGAGCCCUCGGAAUGACAAUCUGAAAAAAAAAAUAAUAAAAUAUGACAAAACCA